UACGUAGGUGGCAAGCGUUGUCCGGAUUUACUGGGCGUAAAGAGCGCGCAGGCGGUCGUUCAAGUCGCGUGUGAAAGCCCCCGGCUCAACUGGGGAGGGUCACGCGAUACUGAUCGACUGGAAGGCAGGAGAGGGUAGUGGAAUUCCCGGUGUAGUGGUGAAAUGCGUAGAUAUCGGGAGGAACACCAGUGGCGAAGGCGACUACCUGGCCUGUUCUUGACGCUGAGGCGCGAAAGCUAGGGGAGCAAACGGG
rnacentral:rRNA from 1 species